rnacentral:lncRNA from 1 species
UUUUGUGUAACAUCUGCAAAAGAGGGCCUUCAGUUUCGCUACAAAAUUCCUCCAUCAUGUUGAUCAAUAUCCCCCUCACGGUGAAUGAUUGAGAAACGGUGAUGCAAGCACGCAAGAGUGGUUUUUCCUAGACCUCCCAUUCCAACCACUGAAAUCACUGUGCGCUCAGCUGUGCCCUCCAAUAACCAACCAGACAAUUCUUCCCUCGGGCCUUCAAAUCCGACAAUUGCAGUUUCUUCAAUGAAAAGGGAAGACAACCGAGGAUCAUGCCAUCUUCUAUUGUCCGUCUCUCUACUGCUGUUGCUGCUGCUUGAUGAUCCUGGUGCUUGCAAUCUUGCAGAAUAA